rnacentral:rRNA from 1 species
GACAGAGGCCUCAAGCGUUAGGCGGAAUCACUGGGCGUAAAGCGCGCGUAGGCGGCUCGGAAAGUCGGUCGUGAAAUGCCGGGGCUCAACCCCGGGACUGCGUCCGAUACUUCCGGGCUGGAGGUAGGUAGGGGAGAUCGGAAUUCCUGGUGUAGCGGUGAAAUGCGCAGAUAUCAGGAGGAACACCGGUGGCGAAGGCGGAUCUCUGGGCCUUACCUGACGCUGAGGCGCGAAAGCUAGGGGAGCGAACAGG